CCCCUUUAGGGGCUACAUGGGACCAAUUGUAGACUGGACCACAAUCCUUUCUAGACGUGUGUACUAGAAGAGGGAUGCAGUGGACUUGUGUUUGCCAAGUUCUACAGAGUCGCCAGUAAGAACCUCAAGAAGGACUUCUAUGAAGCUCUGGACCACCAUACCACUCGUCUCAUUGACCUCUUCAAAUCCAAAAAAGGAGUUGUUGGUGACUCACUUGAUCACCUCGUCCAGCCAAUGAAUUUACAAACUAAUGACAUCACCACAACACGCACUGCCAUUCUUCAAUGCCUGCCCUUGGAGAUAAUUUCGGCGAAUUCUUCAUCAGCUGCCCAGUAAGUACAUUUAUAAUGAUAAUUAUAAAAAUUAGUUAUAUUCACAAGAAUUUGGACUCACAGCUUUCAGUUUUACAUUCACCUAACAACGAUACUAACCCACAAUUUUUCUUACACACAUGUAACAGCAGAAUUUUGCAUUUGAAUUUUGUCAAAUAAAUGUAUUCAUAUAAAAAUAUGAAUAUUAAUGUUUUUAAUCAUACAAACAUAUUUUUGACAGCUCCCUUAUUCCAUAGACGACCAGGUCAUUGAUGCGUUAUUGCCACCUGCUGUUCCGGAGUAUGAGUCAAACCACUACACAGCAGCUAAUCCAUGCAUUUAUCUUUAGUGGAACUGAUCACUGAACCGAGCCAGACACAACCGGACUGCGUUAAAUGCCGACCAGUUCCAUGUGUGAGUUCUGCCCGGUUUUUCAGUAGCCCGGUUCUCUAAUAACAAAGGGCGCAUGAGCAGACCGCGUCAUCUCCUUACAGCCAGCUGACAUUUCAGACAUUCAU